GUAAAGAAAGUAUCUAGGAGAAGAGUAAAAGAGGCUCCUCAGUCCUGGGGAAGGCAAAGCAAUUGAUCUGUGGGACAGGAAGGCAGCAGCUAUUGCUAAUAACCCUGAUGAGGAUAUCAGCUUCUCUCCCUGUCUGAGAAAUCAACAUCAACUUAGCUGGAAAGAGCUCUGGAUGACUUAAAAAUGCAUUUUGCACACACAGUGAAGAGUAAAAGAAGCCAACAGAUAACUCCUGAACCCCAGGAGCAUUAUUGCAAAUAGAGGACCAGUUCUGGCCAAGUUCACAACAAUAUCCAAACCAACAAGUCAUCAACAAGUUGGUAGACCACUCAAUAAGGCCCUUCUUAAUGUUAAAGUAGUGAGGCCAGUGGCCAAGUAAAUACAACUUCCCUCAUCCAUACACAUUAACUCUAUG